AGAGCAUCGCACAGACGAGUAUUUGAUCUAAAAAACCGAUCAAAAGUCGAAAACUUAAAUUUUAUUAUAUUGCUUUGCAACUAUUGUAUCGUGAAAGCCCAAUAGCUAUUACGUCACUAAAGGGCCAGCUUGGCCACACACCGCCUCUCCAUAAACCAUAACAGCAGUCGGAACCCAGUCGUUGCGUGAAUCGUAUGUCUUUGUUCUCGGCGCUACAGUUAAAAAGUGAUUUUUAAAUUGCAUUUAGUCUAUGUUUGGUGAAAUUGUGUGAUAGUCAUUAUGGAUAUUUUGGAAGAUGAAUCACCAAUGACUUCGAUGGAAAUGACUAGAAAAUCACUCUAUGAAGUCAUAAAACAAUGUUCGGACAGAAAAAUAGACCAAAAGUUUGAGUUUUUAGAAAAUCAUCUUAAAAUAAUCACGAAAUGCCCUGAAAACAAACAAGGAUCAUUGAGAACUGCCUUAAAAUCAUUUAAGUACCAAUAUAAACAAAAAUGGGCAGCUGCUAAUAACAAGGAAGAACGCUUCUUGACAAAAAAUGAACAAUGGCUUAAUACUUUUAUCACACUGCCUGCGUGGACAACAAAAAAGGCCGGCAGACCAACAAAAGAAUUCAAGGAAUUGAGCGAUCAAGCAAAGAGGCGCAAAACAAAAGAUUUGAGGGAACAAAUACCCUGUGAACAGUUAACCUAUGCAGCCCAAAUGAGUCAACGUGCUGCAGGACAUGGUGACGCGGCUAAAGUUAUGAAAGAUAUGACUUUAACGCCAACAAGAGCCAAAAA